CUGAGCCAAAGGCAGGCGCCGAACCGCUGAGCCACCCAGGGAUCCCAGUCAGUUGUAUCUUAACAACUUUGCGUGGUGACAGGUGGUAGCUAGACCCAUCCUGGUGGUCGCCUCCUACGUAUAAAACUGUUGAAUCCCUGUGCCGUGCAUCGGAAACUAACAUAGUACUGUACGUCAGCUACGCCUCGAUAAAAAAAUAAAACGUGACCAAGAGGGAUUGACUGGGGAGUGUAAGGAUGGUUCCGUGUUAGAAAAUCUGUGGAAAUCAUACACCAUUUUAAUCGAUCUAAAGUGAAGAACCACGUGAUCAUUUCUCCACAGACGUUACAGAAGCCUCCAACAAGAUCGAAUGUCCUUUUUGCUUUAUAAAAAGGAAAAAAACAUUGAUCUAGUCAGACGAGGGGAAUUCUUACUUUACAUUACGUAUUUCUACCAACAGUUCAGAAUCCAAAGAGCAGGAGGAGCAUCUCCAUUGAAGUCUGGAGCAAAACACACAUACUGCGUAUGACCACUAUGAUUCCACGCGAUUAUCGUGUCAAGUAGAAAAUUAAACCAGGCACGGAAAAAAGACGUCGGUACGCACCAGGUUUGACGUGUGAUCCCUUCCGUUGCCUGUUUGAUGCAGAGGUUUCCCUUCGUCUUGACAUCACGUGUUAGAUGACACCUGCCUGCUGAUUUGGUCUUCUGGACGAGUCACGUCUCUGGGUCGGGGUGGACCCUUAUGACACAACUGCUGAUGUCCUGGCUAACGAACCCUACCUUCCCACGAGGACUCGGGACUUGUGUUGGAUUCUGGGCAUGAACUCUGCAGCCACCUAUCUUCACAUUUUUGGCCGUAUCCUCUGCUACCUGUUCAGAAUCCAAAGAGCAGGAGGAGCAUCUCCAUUGAAGUCUGGAGCAAAACACACAUACUGCGUAUGACCACUAUGAUUCCACGCGAUUAUCGUGUCAAGUAGAAAAUUAAACCAGGCACGGAAAAAAGACCAUCACGUGUUAGAUGACACCUGCCUGCUGAUUUGGUCUUCUGGACGAGGUAUGUUUGUGAACCUUCUAUUGUUUCCUGAAUUGUAAUCUGUAUGUCGAUUUGUCCCUCAAAGCCUCUCUGUUUAAAUCAUUUUACUUUUGUAAAAAAA